rnacentral:rRNA from 1 species
UGGGGAAUAUUGGACAAUGGGCGAAAGCCUGAUCCAGCCAUGCCGCGUGUGUGAAGAAGGUCUUCGGAUUGUAAAGCACUUUAAGUUGGGAGGAAGGGCAGUAAGCGAAUACCUUGCUGUUUUGACGUUACCGACAGAAUAAGCACCGGCUAACUCUGUUCCAGCAGCCGCGGUAAUACAGAGGGUGCAAGCGUUAAUCGGAAUUACUGGGCGUAAAGCGCGCGUAGGUGGUUCGUUAAGUUGAAUGUGAAAGCCCCGGGCUCAACCUGAGAACUGCAUCCAAAACUGGCGAGCGAGAGUAGGGCAGAGGGUGGUGGAAUUUCCUGUGUAGAGGUGAAAUGCGUAGAUAUAGGAAGGAAAACCAGUGGCGAAAGCGACCACCUGGGCUCAUACUGACACUGAGGUGCGAAAGCGUGGGGAGCAAACAGG